rnacentral:rRNA from 1 species
AACGAACGCUGGCGGCAUGCCUAACACAUGCAAGUCGAACGAGACCUUCGGGUCUAGUGGCGCACGGGUGCGUAACGCGUGGGAACCUGCCCUUAGGUUCGGAAUAACUCCCCGAAAGGGGUGCUAAUACCGGAUAAUGUCUUCGGACCAAAGAUUUAUCGCCUUUGGAUGGGCCCGCGUUGGAUUAGCUAGUUGGUAGGGUAAAAGCCUACCAAGGCGACGAUCCAUAGCUGGUCUGAGAGGAUGAUCAGCCACACUGGGACUGAGACACGGCCCAGACUCCUACGGGAAGCAGCAGUGGGGAAUAUUGGACAAUGGGCGAAAGCCUGAUCCAGCAAUGCCGCGUGAGUGAUGAAGGCCUUAGGGUUGUAAAGCUCUUUUACCCGGGAUGAUGAUGACAGUACCGGGAGAAUAAGCUCCGGCUAACUCCGUG